GGAGGGGUGUCCGAGUGGUCGAAGGUGACAGACUCGAAAUCUGUUGUGCCGCAAGGCACCGUGGGUUCGAAUCCCACCCCCUCCGCCA
rnacentral:tRNA from 2 species